GAGUUUGAUUCUGGCUCAGAGUGAACGCUGGCGGCGUGCCUAAUACAUGCAAGUCGAACGGAGAUUAAGUAGCUUGCUAUUUAAUCUUAGUGGCGCACGGGUGAGUAAUAUAUAGCUAAUCUGCCCUACACUAGAGGACAACAGUUGGAAACGACUGCUAAUACUCUAUACUCCUUCUAAGCAUAAGCUUAGUCGGGAAAGUUAAUAAAAUUUGCUUUUUGGUUUCAUCUUGAGAGAUAUGGACGUAUAACAACUAAAUUGAUACGCCGAUGUGGCAAACAUCGGUGUGCUUUAGGUGGGUCAAGGGAGCGCUUGCGCUUCUUGUCGCAAAGAAAGGCUUUGCCUAUCUGCGAAGUCCGUAUUUGUCAAGAUGAAAUCUUGCAAAUGUAUUUUUUCGGUGUAGGAUGAGGCUAUAUCGUAUCAGCUAGUUGGUGAGGUAAUGGCUCACCAAGGCUAUGACGCGUAACUGGUCUGAGAGGAUGAUCAGUCACACUGGAACUGAGACACGGUCCAGACUCCUACGGGAGGCAGCAGUAGGGAAUAUUGCUCAAUGGGGGAAACCCUGAAGCAGCAACGCCGCGUGGAGGAUGACACUUUUCGGAGCGUAAACUCCUUUUCUUGGGAAAGAAUUAUGACG
rnacentral:rRNA from 1 species